rnacentral:rRNA from 1 species
CCUACGGGAGGCAGCAGUGAGGAAUAUUGGUCAAUGGACGAGAGUCUGAACCAGCCAAGUAGCGUGAAGGAUGACUGCCCUAUGGGUUGUAAACUUCUUUUAUAUGGGAAUAAAAUGUUGCACGUGUGGGAUUUUGUAUGUACCAUAUGAAUAAGGAUCGGCUAACUCCGUGCCAGCAGCCGCGGUAAUACGGAGGAUCCGAGCGUUAUCCGGCUUGAUUGGGUUUAAAGGGAGCGUCGGUGGUUUGUGAAGUCAGUUGUGAAAGUUUGCGGCUCACCCGUAAAAUUGCAGUUGAAACUGGCAGUCUUGAGUACAGUAGAGGUAGGCGGCAUUCGUGGUGUCGCGG